rnacentral:tRNA from 1 species
AACUCCCAGCAGUCCUACCUUGGAGGAUUAGCAAUCUGGUGAAUGCAGCAAACUCAUAAUUUGCCUAAGGUG